CCUACGGGAGGCUGCAGUGAGGAAUAUUGGUCAAUGGGCGUAAGCCUGAACCAGCCAAGUCGCGUGAAGGAUGAAGGAUCUAUGGAUCGUAAACUUCUUUUAUAAGGGAAUAAAGUGUGGGACGUGUCCUUUUUUGUAUGUACCUUAUGAAUAAGGAUCGGCUAACUCCGUGCCAGCAGCCGCGGUAAUACGGAGGAUGCGAGCGUUAUCCGGAUUUAUUGGGUUUAAAGGGUGCGUAGGCGGCUAUUUAAGUCAGCGGUGAAAGUUUGUGGCUCAACCAUAAAAUUGCCGUUGAAACUGGGUGGCUUGAGUAUAUUUGAGGCAGGCGGAAUGCGUGGUGUAGCGGUGAAAUGCUUAGAUAUCACGCAGAACCCCGAUUGCGAAGGCAGCCUGCCAAGCCAUGACUGACGCUGAUGCACGAAAGCGUGGGGAUCAAACAGGAUUAGAUACCCUGGUAGUC
rnacentral:rRNA from 1 species